UGUGUGUUUGUUCACAGGACGUGCGUGGUCGGGCUGAAUGUUUUUUAAGUGGCCAGACCCGAGCCUGUUCCCACGCUGUGGGAGGGAGGAAGGCUUCACCGCUGGUGAAACGCGGGCGCGGCUGGAGGAGUCCCGAAGGAGCGGGGGUUGGGGAUGGCGGCCCACUCAGUUUUGUAGACGGGAGCAGCAGCCCUCCUCGAGGUUGCCAGCUAGUGAUGCAUUGCCAGCGCGUGCUCACCAGCCACCGAGUAUGGGCGCCUGGACCGAGGGUCUGAGCUCUGAAGAGUGGUGACCAGCAGAGUUUUAGAGCCGGCAGCAAUGGCAGGAACACCCCAGCCCAAGACAAGGCUAAGCUGCAGCAGGGGCAGAAUUUGGAAGUUGCAAGGACCAGUGGCAGCCAUCAACUUGGACAUGGAAAAUACAGGCUUCAAUGUUUUGUUUUGUGCCGAGUAUCAAAGAGGACAUUCUUAAUGUUAAAGAGCCAAGAAACGGAUUUGGCACCUUUUUUCUAGGACAGCGGAGUCAUUAAAUUCAUAGUUUCCUAGUAUUGUCCCUUAAGCAAAAGUAGCUUUUUUGUACUUGUAAGUAUUGUAUGCAUUUGUUAUACUGGGAGAGAGAAAAUUCCUGAAAUUUGUAUCUCCAUGCAGUUACCAUAGAGGUAAUAAAAGGAUGCUCUUUUGUAUUAAGUUCUUAGAAAUGUAUAUUUUUGAAGAAAAAGUCAAGUCUGAUCACUGCUGACAAAUAUUGUUCGGUCUCUAAGUCGUGUCAAUAUUAGUGGUCCAGUUAACUCCUUGUAACCUUCCCUUAUGGUCAGUUUAAGGUGUUCUCCCCUCUUGAGACUUGGGGCAGAAAUCCCCAAGCGUUUAAGGCAUCUAUACACAGUCCUGUUCCUCUGGGCUCUGUCCACUGGCUUGAGCGUCCUCUCUCCUGAAGCCCCACCCCCAUUCGCACCGACUGCAGCAUCUGAAGCCC
ensembl:lncRNA